rnacentral:snoRNA from 1 species
UUGUAAUGAUGUUGAUCAAAUGUCUGACCUGAAGUGAGCGUGUAGACCAGGGGUGUCCAAA